GAAGUGCGACAAGUGUCAUGACUUGCAGAUUCCCGAGAGCUGACAAAUUUCUGAAUGCAAAUGGCGGCCACUAACACUGGCCAUGUAUUGCAGAGUGUAGUUGUUCCUACCGAUCAUCCCCCACUCCGACAUGUCUCGGAGUGCGGAUUGGGAUCUGCGCUUGCGACGCCCAAUGCGCGAGCGUGAAAAAUGGAGCGCCAAGUCGUUCACACGGCUUGGCGACUUCGGAAGACCUGUCUUCUAGGAGUUGUAUGCUCCAUCUACUUUCGACAGCCACCUCUGCGAUGCAGGAGAACCCGCUGAACUUAA
rnacentral:misc_RNA from 1 species